UGAAAAAAAAAAUGUUAGGUGCUACUCUAAAUGAGAAGAAAAGCUGAUACAAUUACAAAAAUAAAAUCUAAUUCUAAUCAAAAUUUAAAAUUAACACGAAGAAAAAUAUUUUUUUUUAACCGCAAGUUCUUGUGUUCAAGUGCAAUUUAUCUUAAUCUUUACUUCGUAUGGGCAUACUUUCAAUCUAUCUUAUAAACAGAAAAAUCGUUAUACGUCAUGUCAAGGAUUCGUGAACGUGAAGUUCUGAAAAAUCAUAGUAAAAUAAUCUUAAAUUCUCAAAAAUAUCUCAAUAUAUCAUCAUUGUAGUACCUAAUAUGUCUAAGAUAUCGAUUUCAGUUAUCGACUUAAUUAUCUCAAAAUAUUCUUUGACUUAUCAAGUCAUCAUCAUAGGUAUACAGUAGUCGUAGCAUCUUCGGGUUCCUAUUCUAUGAACCGUAAUAAUUAUUAUUCUUUAACAUCUCAGGAAUUUAUAUUACCUGUACAGUCAAAAUAAAUCUCUCCUAGUCUUCAUAUUCUUUCAAGUUACUUCAUCAGAUAUCACAUAAUAUAAGUAAAUACAUAAACAAAUAAACAAACGCGGCGCGUACUCUCCUAAUUAACAUUUACCAUAACAUGCUUUCAAGCAUUUUUCAUAAUACUUAUAAUCUUCAUCAUCAACUUAUUUCUUUCAAUAACAUUCAACUUUUCAUAAAGAUUCUAGGUCUUUCACUAACACCAGCGCGGUAGAUAAUGAUCAAGAGUCUAGACAAAUAUAUAGUUGAAUGAGGAGGCACAAAAUAUGCGCAAAACAUCGCGUUCAACAUAAAAAUAAAUAACAAUCAUCUUCAACGUCAAUAUGUCUCAAUCCGAAGUAACUAUUUGAACAUUAUUCAAAAUAUUUAUUGUAUAUUUAGCACUUCUACAGCCGAAGGGUGAUCAAGCCUUGGGUUUGCAGAGUCCUAAUUUGUCAAAGUCGGGUAAAGUCUUUAAUCGUCACAACUAGCACGAAACUAGACGAAAAACGUAUACAGGGGAGAAAAUUCU